ACGGAAGGCAGCAGUGAGGAAUAUUGGUCAAUGGGCGAGAGCCUGAACCAGCCAAGUAGCGUGAAGGAUGACUGCCCUACGGGUUGUAAACUUCUUUUGCCGGGGGAUAAAAAACGGGACGUGUCCCGUCUUGCAGGUACCCGUGCGAAUAAGGACCGGCUAAUUCCGUGCCAGCAGCCGCGGUAAUACGGAAGGUCCGGGCGUUAUCCGGAUUUAUUGGGUUUAAAGGGAGCGUAGGCCGUGCUUUAAGCGUGUUGUGAAAUGUAGGCGCCCAACGUCUGCACUGCAGCGCGAACUGGAGCACUUGAGUACGCAGGAAGUAGGCGGAAUUCGUCGUGUAGCGGUGAAAUGCUUAGAUAUGACGAAGAACUCCGAUUGGGAAGCCAGCUUACUGUAGCGCCACUGACGCUGAUGCUCGAAAGCGUGGGUAUCGAACAGGAUUAGAUACCCUGGUA
rnacentral:rRNA from 1 species